CCUACGGGAGGCAGCAGUGGGGAAUAUUGGACAAUGGGGGGAACCCUGAUCCAGCCAUGCCGCGUGUGUGAAGAAGGCCCUCGGGUUGUAAAGCACUUUCAGUGAGGAAGAACGCCUGGUGGUUAAUACCCAUCAGGAAAGACAUCACUCACAGAAGAAGCACCGGCUAACUCCGUGCCAGCAGCCGCGGUAAUACGGAGGGUGCGAGCGUUAAUCGGAAUUACUGGGCGUAAAGCGCGCGUAGGUGGCUUGAUAAGCCGGUUGUGAAAGCCCCGGGCUCAACCUGGGAACGGCAUCCGGAACUGUCAAGCUAGAGUGCAGGAGAGGAAGGUAGAAUUCCCGGUGUAGCGGUGAAAUGCGUAGAGAUCGGGAGGAAUACCAGUGGCGAAGGUGGCCUUCUGGACUGACACUGACACUGAGGUGCGAAAGCGUGGGUAGCAAACAGGAUUAGAUACCCUAGUAGUC
rnacentral:rRNA from 1 species